CUGCCCAACCACCACUACCCAGACUGAUGGCUUCACAUCUCAGGAGUAACCUCUGACUUCCUAGGGCCCCAGGAGCCUCUGAGGAUUCUACAUCCCAAGAUGUUCUAAGUUACAGAAUCUCCAAGCCCAUCGAGAGCAAGUUUUGCUAGAAGUGGUCUGAGAGCUUAUGAAGCACAUGGACGAGGAAAGGUUGUGUGCGUCCAGCUUUCCACCUUAAACUGCUUUCUGUAGUGCUUCAGUGAUAGAAUAAGGAUGCAUAAGGAGACCCCAGGCCAGGAGUUCCUUCAGGACAUGUUGUCCUAGACCUGGACCCUGGAGGAGGACAUAGUGAUGAGGCCUCCAUGGGAGAACCGAGAAGCAUGCCCUGUGACCUGCACCCCCAGCCAAACCUGAGCAAGUGCCCCCAGCACCCAGGCCUCUGUGGGCAUCCCCCAGAGUUGAGACCUUCCCCAAGAGGACAGUCUGGUUCUCCUUGGGCCAAAAGCCCAGCUCCAGCAGCCCAUGGGUAUAGCCCUCCUAAAACGGGAGCCUCGUCUUUCCUCACCCUCGCCUGGCUAGGCUGUUCCCAAGGCCAAAGCCCAGAGACAUGCGGGAGCUUCUACAGAGCCCAGGAUAGCAGGCUGCUCUCCGGGGGCCCUGGGGACUCAGAAUGUGGCCAGCCUGUUCCCAGCUCAGGAUAGACCACAGGAUGCUUGGUGAUUCUUACGUUGGAACUCCCUCUCAAAGCUCCCCAUUGAUCUGGACCUCAGAGGCCUGUGGUUUUCACAGUACAGCUUGGUGCAGAGACGCUAGGCCCCUGUCACUUCCAUAUUUGCCCUGGACAUCUCUAAGACCAUGGGACUGAUCCAGUCCCCAAUACCAGCCCUGCUCAGCCCCCUUAUAGCCCAGCGGUAGGGCCAGAGACAACUCUCCUGAAUGUGGUACCUGCAUCCAAUCAAAGAAGGUGACUAACAUGGCCCAGAAGGAGCUAGGGCAGCACCUGGAAAGCUGCCCCAAAGCCCCAGACAGCACCUUAGACAUGGAAAGUCAAUCCUGAUGGGGAAGCUGGACACUGGAGGCCACUGGAGAGAAGGGUGAGCAUGGCAUCCCCACAGCCCAGGCCAGCCAGCAGCUUGCCCUAUAUCCACAGUCCCAAGCUGUAAGGCAGAACCACCGUCUCAAGGCACAAUUCCCAGACCCAGAGGGCCCUAGCCCAGACACAACCUGAGCCCUGAAAGGGAAGGGGGACCAGGAGUGCCUUGGGGCCCCCAGCAGUAGCCAAGAUAAGCACACAAGAGACUGAGUCCCCUGUGGCCCUGGCCAGAACUAGUACUUGGCUUAAGGCAGAGCAAGCCCCCUUGGAGCACUGUAUUCAUACCUGGGGCCUAUGUGUGCUCAGCAAGGACAAGCUGAUAAUGUUACCAGGCUCAAACUACAACUGGCCUUGUGGGGUGAGGGUGGGGCAGAAACAGGUAGACCAGCCGCCAACCUCAUCCAUUCAAGAAAGCAGGAAUGGCCAGGAUCCUGCUGGAUAAGUGGCCACCACCAGACCACCAAUGGGGCAGAGUCCUGAGGCCCAAGCAGAUGGCACUGGGGCUCUGCUUCUAGGGUCCACAAUCUGCUCCAGGACACAGGACUGAAGAAAACUAAGCCAAUGGAGUCCAGGAGGCAGGAUCCCUACCUCUGCCAUUCUUGGCAGUUGCAUUUUGUAGUUAGAAAAAGUCAGGAAACCUGGUGCUACCUGCUGCAGGAGGCUCCAAGGUGGGACCCGAGCUUCCAGCAUAGAUUCAACAAUGCCUAAGAAAGACUCUUCUUGGGGAAAAGGAACUCUUCCUUGGCCUCAAAGCCCCCACUUAUUUUUAUUAAAGCACAAUAAAGUCUGUUGUUA